CAGUAGAAAAAAGAAGAAAAAGCCUUCCAAACAAGAGUGGAACGGAGAGGUCAAAAAGAGAGAUGAGCAUAAGUCAGCAAAGAAAAGAAAGUUUACUGUUUAGCAGUGUAGAUCUAUAAUUCUACUUAAAACUCCUGUUCCUGGUUCCUAUUCCUCCUAAACCAGAGACCCCUGAGUGCAGGGUGAGGGCACAGCGUUCACACUUGCCAUGGGCUGAUCAGCAAAGAGGUGCUGGCCUGAGAGUGGGGCACAUAACCUCAGCCACUGGGGUACACUUACCACCCCCAACCCGUGUAGCUCCCCUCCCCUGUCCUGAAAUCUCCCUUUAUCACACGAAGCAUUCUAGGUUGAACAGCCACAUGUUCAGGGAGUUCAUUUUCCACAAACACACAUUAAAAUGCAGAUAUUUUUGCCUGCAAGAUGAGGAAAAUUCUCCGGAAGAUUUUGGGCCCUGAGAGCUGCAAAGGGACCCUACGCAUCACCGGGUGAUGACUGCCCUGAGGCCAGAGGAGCGAACUCACAAUAGUGAUGACCUGAACAAGGUGUUCCCACCCACGGUUGCUGUGUUUGAGCCAUCAGAAACAGAGAUCUCCCGCACCCAAAAGGCCACGCUGGUGUGCCUGGCCACAGGCUUCUACCCCGACCAUGUGGAGCUGAGCUGGUGGGUGAACGGGAAGGAGGUGCACAGUGGGGUCAGCACGGACCCACAGCCCCUCAAGGAGCAGCCUGCCGUCAAUGACUCCAAAUACUGCCUGAGCAGCCGCCUGAGGGUCUCGGCCACCUUCUGGCACAACCCCCGCAACCACUUCCGCUGCCAAGUCCAGUUCUACGGGCUCUCGGAGGAUGACGAGUGGACCCAGCCAAGGGCCAAACCCAUCACCCAGAAAGUCAGUGCCGAGGCCUGGGGCAGAGCAGACUGUGGCUUCACCUCUGUGUCUUACCAGCAAGGGGUCCUGUCUGCCACCGUCCUCUAUGAGAUCUUGCUAGGGAAGGCCACCUUGUAUGCUGUGCUUGUCAGUGCCCUUGUGCUGAUGGCCAUGGUCAAGAGAAAGGAUUCCUGAGGCCAGCUCCAAAAAACCAUCCCAGAUUAUUCUUCAUCCUCACCCACGAUUCUCCUGUACCUGCACCCAAUCUGUGUUCCUAAAAGUGAUUCUCUCUGUGCUUCUCAUUUACUUCUUACAUGAAUUCUUCCCUCUUUCUUCUGCUUCCCUGAAGAUUGAGCUCCCGACCCCCAGGUUCGAAAUAGACUAAACAAAUAAAAAUGGUAUGCUGGGCCUGGUUGC